CACAGUUCCCUUUCAAGGAAAUGACACAAUCUGCUUAUGAUUUUUUAAUGGCCUGAAUGAACACCUGGAUUUCUGCUUAAUCUCUUCACCUGUGCUGUGCAGAUGAAUAUCUGGAAGCCCAAAGAUCUGAAGUGACUAAUUUCAGACUGCAUAAGAAAUAAGUGGCAGCAGCAGGAUUCAAAUCCUCUGAAGUCCUCUGACUUCAAAACCAGUAAAUUCUCUUAUAGUUUGGGAGGAACAGUAGCUA
rnacentral:lncRNA from 1 species